rnacentral:lncRNA from 1 species
UGGAUCAGGAAGACAGAACACUGCCAACGUCUUUUCCAAUUCUCCUCCCAUUAGGAGUUACAUUUUCCAGUAAUUGCCUGCAGUUCCCAAAGACAGCCUAACCUUUUUGCUUAAUAUCAUGUUUAAUAAAGACUCUCUCUUAGUAUAUUUUGAGUGAAUUCAGUACUCAUUAAAGUGAGGGAGAAAUAACAAGGGUGUUACAGGCCUGCAUAAUAAAGAGAUCGCCUCACAAUGCUUCCCCAAUAGUGUCAUUAGUGUUUACACCUCAAUCCUUACCUACAGUGAGGACACUGAAAUUACAUCUUUAAUUAUCUGUUGUUUUUAUGAUGUGUGCACAGCUGGAUGUUCCUGGUACUGAACCCGGCACCUUAUAGGAGGCUAAUAAAUAUGACAUCAAAUUGGAUCAAUCCCAAGGGACCUUUGGCAAUACAGGACGAGGGCCAUGGGCAAUGAUUUAUUCUCGAGAAGCCUUUCGGUUGGACUCUAAGAUACAAAUCUGUGAUCCUCUGAUUCAGGUAUUCUUAAUUUUUUUUAAAUCAUUAACCCCUUUGGCAGUGUGGGGAAGGCUACUGACCACUUCUUAGAAUAGUGUUUCCAAACACAUAAAAUUAAAUGCAAAGUAUUAAAAGGAAGCCAGUCCAAAUCUACUCAUAGAUGCCUGGGCAAGAACCUCUAUUAAAAUCUAAAUGUGGGACUAAUAAGCAAGCUGCUCUAUAAUAGGGGUGCUAUCAUCAUUGAUAGAGUACACAACCCAGGAAAUCAGGGAUCCUUGAAAUGGUAAAGAGACGACAAAAUAGUGGCUCUGCAGGCACUGCAGUCACUGAAGUCAACAGGAGUUGAAUAUGUUCAAUGGGGAAAGAAAGAAUUUAUCUGUAGGAGUUUUUAAUUGAUGGACUAUUGCAGUCUCUCUGGAAGAUAGCCAAUCACUGGCAGACAAAAUCCUUUGUUAACCUUUGCUUGGAGAAUUCAUACUUCAUUAUAUAUUUGAGAUAAAGACACUAAAGGCUUUGGAAGAUGACUUCCUACUACAAAUAAAUGAAUUUAGUGGGAUUGCCGCUAUACUUUA